rnacentral:tRNA from 1 species
GGUACCGUAGCCAAGCAGUAAGGCAGAGGUCUGCAAAACCUUUAUGCGCGGGUGCAAUUCCCGCCGGUACCUCAA